UUGCAGGAUUCACUUACAUCUGUGCAAUUUCUUGUGCACAGACAAGUCCACAUGAGGUGAGAGUUGUAGAGUUUUAUUAACAAUAUGAAGUUAGGCUAGUCAGAUAUUUUACUGAAGAACCUGAACAAGGACCAAAUGGAUCUUGUUAAGUCGGCAGAUGUGACAGUAUUCUUGAGUCUCAUUGUUUUGAAGCUUCAAGAAUAUUAUUAAGGAUUGAACUUUCUCUCUACGUGCUUGACGAAAUCAUGCUGGUCUUUCAUAAAAAAGGGACAAGCAUCCUGUCUUUAUAUUUAACAUGGCUGACGAUAAUCUUUUUUUUUAUUGUCCAAUGUAUUCAGUUUUUAAUAUAAAGGUGUUUUGCAUGGUUUUAUUUA